rnacentral:rRNA from 1 species
GAUGAACGCUGACGGCGUGCCUAGUACAUGCAAGUCGAGCGAACGGACGAGAAGCUUGCUUCUCUGAUGUUAGCGGCGGACGGGUGAGUAACACGUGGAUAACCUACCUAUAAGACUGGGAUAACUUCGGGAAACCGGAGCUAAUACCGGAUAAUAUUUUGAACCGCAUGGUUCAAAAGUGAAAGACGGUCUUGCUGUCACUUAUAGAUGGAUCCGCGCUGCAUUAGCUAGUUGGUAAGGUAACGGCUUACCAAGGCAACGAUGCAUAGCCGACCUGAGAGGGUGAUCGGCCACACUGGAACUGAGACACGGUCCAGACUCCUACGGGAGGCAGCAGUAGGGAAUCUUCCGCAAUGGGCGAAAGCCUGACGGAGCAACGCCGCGUGAGUGAUGAAGGUCUUCGGAUCGUAAAACUCUGUUAUUAGGGAAGAACAUAUGUGUAAGUAACUGUGCACAUCUUGACGGUACCUAAUCAGAAAGCCACGGCUAACUACGUG